GGGGUGAUAGCUCAGUUGGGAGAGCGUACGACUGAAGUUCCAACUUCAGUUCAACAGUUUAAUCGUAAGGUCGCUGGUUCGAUCCCGGCUCGCCCCA